rnacentral:rRNA from 1 species
GCUGGAGGUAUCAGAAGUGCGAAUGCUGACAUAAGUAACGAUAAAGCGGGUGAAAAGCCCGCUCGCCGGAAGACCAAGGGUUCCUGUCCAACGUUAAUCGGGGCAGGGUGAGUCGACCCCUAAGGCGAGGCCGAAAGGCGUAGUCGAUGGGAAACAGGUUAAUAUUCCUGUACUUGGUGUUACUGCGAAGGGGGGACGGAGAAGGCUAUGUUAGCCGGGCGACGGUUGUC